AAGAUAAAUAACAAUCAAGCAGGUAUAUCGUCAGAUAACGGCUGACAGUUUCUACCCAACACCUAUGUUGGACUAUCUGCGGAUCGCUUUUUUGG
rnacentral:ncRNA from 2 species